AGUCACAAGACCCGCCCCUGUGGACGGAGGACCUCACGUUCCAGAUGCCCAGAAUCAGGGACCCCCACCUGCCCCUGCACCAACCCCUCUCCCCUUGUCAGAGCUGGCUCCUAUGCCCUCCGAGAAUGACCUCUUUGGUGACAUCUCAGCCCUGAAAGAGCAGUAUGCUAAGAACACGGAGGAAUACCUGAAGGCCCAGCAGAUGAACAAGGCACGCAUGGAACAGGGGCUGCAGGCAAAGCUGGCAGAGAGACGCCACAAGAAACAGGCUUAAACUUUACUGCUCAGAAGCGAAAUGGCUAAGGCAACCAGCAUUAAACCAGAACAGCCUGCAAGAUAUCAUCAGUGAACUGCUCAAACUGUGAUCUCUCUAAGAAGCAGCCCUCAUAAUUUUUUUUCGUAUAACAAUUUCUAGAAGUAUAAGCUUUUGGACGUUUCCUGAAGGACUGUGAUAUAAGUACACAAAUAUUCUCAGCUGUUUUAUGUUAAGAAUAUGACAAUACAAUUAUUUGAUUCAGUCCAUGUAAUGUUCAGUAAUUUGUAUUACCUUUUUUUACCUGUUGUUUCUAGUAUUUGCCUUUUUUGGUAGAACACAUAUCUAUGAAAUGUGUACACGUGUAGUUAAGUCUCUCUUUCAGUAAAUCAAUGUUCAUACAUAACGCUCAUUAUUUGUAGUUAAAAUUUGAUA